rnacentral:rRNA from 1 species
AACGAACGCUGGCGGCAUGCCUAACACAUGCAAGUCGAACGAGACCUUCGGGUCUAGUGGCGCACGGGUGCGUAACGCGUGGGAACCUGCCCUUAGGUUCGGAAUAACUCCCCGAAAGGGGUGCUAAUACCGGAUAAUGUCCUCGGACCAAAGAUUUCUCGCCUUUGGAUGGGCCCGCGUUGGAUUAGCUAGUUGGUAGGGUAAAAGCCUACCAAGGCGACGAUCCAUAGCUGGUCUGAGAGGAUGAUCAGCCACACUGGGACUGAGACACGGCCCAGACUCCUACGGGAGGCAGCAGUGGGGAAUAUUGGACAAUGGGCGAAAGCCUGAUCCAGCAAUGCCGCGUGAGUGAUGAAGGCCUUAGGGUUGUAAAGCUCUUUUACCCGGGAUGAUAAUGACAGUACCGGGAGAAGAAGCUCCGGCUAACUCCGUG